rnacentral:rRNA from 1 species
AACGAACGCUGGCGGCAGGCCUAACACAUGCAAGUCGAACGAGAAGCUAGGCUUCGGCCUAGUGGAAAGUGGCAGACGGGUGAGGAACACGUGGGAAUCUGCCCAGUGGUACGGAAUAACUUCGGGAAACCGGAGCUAAUGCCGUAUACGCCCUUCGGGGGAAAGAUUUAUCGCCAUUGGAUGAGCCCGCGUCGGAUUAGCUUGUUGGUAGGGUAACGGCCUACCAAGGCGACGAUCCGUAGCUGGUCUGAGAGGAUGAUCAGCCACACUGGGACUGAGACACGGCCCAGACUCCUACGGGAGGCAGCAGUGGGGAAUAUUGCACAAUGGGCGCAAGCCUGAUGCAGCCAUGCCGCGUGAGUGAAGAAGGCCCUAGGGUUGUAAAACUCUUUCACCGGUGAAGAUAAUGACGGUAGCCGGAGAAGAAGCCCCGGCUAACUCCGUG